GUGUAAGGCCAUACCAACGUGAAUGCCCCUAAUCUCAGAAGGUAAGCAAUGUCGGAGGGGGGGGGGUUAGUACUUGGAAUGGAUACUGCCUGGGAAUAAGGGUGCUGUAGGCU
rnacentral:rRNA from 1 species